UACGUAGGGUGCGAGCGUUGUCCGGAAUUACUGGGCGUAAAGGGCUCGUAGGCGGCCAACUAAGUCAGACAUGAAAUCCCUCGGCUUAACCGGGGAACUGCGUCUGAUACUGGAUGGCUUGAGUUUGGGAGAGGGAUGCGGAAUUCCAGGUGUAGCGGUGAAAUGCGUAGAUAUCUGGAGGAACACCGGUGGCGAAGGCGGCAUCCUGGACCAACACUGACGCUGAGUGAGCGAAAGCCAGGGGAGCAAACGGG
rnacentral:rRNA from 1 species